rnacentral:tRNA from 1 species
CGGGAUGUGGCUCAGCUUGGUAGAGCGCUUGGUUUGGGACCAAGAUGCCGCAGGUUCGAAUCCUGUCAUCCCGACCA